GGUUAAGUUAUUAAGGGCGCAUGGUGGAUGCCUUGGCACUAGGAGCCGAUGAAGGACGGGACUAACACCGAUAUGCUUCGGGGAGCUGUAAGUAAGCUUUGAUCCGGAGAUUUCCGAAUGGGGGAACCCAACUUGUUAUGCAAGUUAUCACCUAAUGAAUAUAUAGUUAGGUUGAAGGUAGACGUUGUGAACUGAAACAUCUCAUUAGCAACAGGAAUAGAAAGAAAAAUCGAUACCGUCAGUAGCGGCGAGCGAAAUCGGUAGAGCCCAAACCAAAGUGCUUGCACUUUGGGGUUGUAGGACUGACAUUGUGGAGUUACAAAGUUAACAUUUAGCAGAAUCAGCUGGGAAGCUGAGCGAGACAGGGUGAUAGCCCCGUAUGCGAAAAAUGUUGACCUCCCGUCAGGAUCCUGAGUACGGCCGGACACGUGAAAUCCGGUCGGAAUCCGCGAGGACCAUCUCGCAAGGCUAAAUACUCCCUAGUGACCGAUAGUGAACCAGUACCGUGAGGGAAAGGUGAAAAGCACCCCGGAAGGGGAGUGAAAAAGUUCCUGAAACCAUGUGCCUACAAGAAGUUAGAGCCCGUUAAUGGGUGAUAGCGUGCCUUUUGUAGAAUGAACCGGCGAGUUACGAUAACGUGCAAGGUUAAGGUGGAAAGACCGGAGCCGUAGCGAAAGCGAGUCUGAAAUGGGCGAGUUAGUACGUUGUUGUAGACCCGAAACCAGGUGACCUACCCAUGUCC
rnacentral:rRNA from 1 species